CUCGCCGAGAGAGAGAGAGGAGCCUUGGCCACGCGUGAACCCCAGUCCGACGAGCUCUUCCGGUCGAAGUCCUCAGGCUGAACCGGAAGUUUUCAUCACAUCUAAAUCUCAGCCAAGCCAGCAGGGUGAUUUGGGAGAUUUAUCAAGCAAACGGGCACUCGCAUUAUUUGUCUCUGGAAUGAGAUUAAAAAUGGAGGCACGAUGGUAAAUUGCCGUGUCUGUGCAGACCCAACGAAGCUCUGAGAAUGGACCGAGAUAAAGAUUCGCUAUUUAGCAAUGGACUGUAUCUGGCAAACUUGGCUGUGUCAUCAAAUCUUCUUCAGGAUUCAUGGGAUGCCAUACCCAAACUUGAGCAGCGAAUC